rnacentral:rRNA from 1 species
GGGGAAUAUUGCACAAUGGGCGCAAGCCUGAUGCAGCCAUGCCGCGUGUAUGAAGAAGGCCUUCGGGUUGUAAAGUACUUUCAGCGGGGAGGAAGGUGUUGUGGUUAAUAACCGCAGCAAUUGACGUUACCCGCAGAAGAAGCACCGGCUAACUCCGUGCCAGCAGCCGCGGUAAUACGGAGGGUGCAAGCGUUAAUCGGAAUUACUGGGCGUAAAGCGCACGCAGGCGGUCUGUCAAGUCGGAUGUGAAAUCCCCGGGCUCAACCUGGGAACUGCAUUCGAAACUGGCAGGCUAGAGUCUUGUAGAGGGGGGUAGAAUUCCAGGUGUAGCGGUGAAAUACGUAGAUAUCAACAGGAAUACCGGUGGCGAAGGCGGCUAUCUGGCUAAGCACUGACACUCAGACCCGAAAGCGUGGGGAUCAAACA